UGUUGGUUCUCCCGCAACGCUACUCUGUUUACCAGGUCAGGUCCGGAAGGAAGCAGCCAGAGCAGACGACGUGUGUAGUUUUUGUUGUUAAAA
rnacentral:SRP_RNA from 1 species